AUUGAACGUCGGCGGCACGCCUAAUACAUGCAAGUCGAACGAGAAAGUACCUUCGGGUGCGAGUACAGUGGCGGACGGGUGAGUAACGCGUAGGAAUAUACCUGGUAGUGGGGGACAACUCGGGGAAACUCGAGCUAAUACCGCAUACGCUCUACGGAGGAAAGUGGGGGAUCUUCGGACCUCACGCUAUCAGAGUAGCCUGCGUUGGAUUAGCUAGUUGGUGAGGUAAAGGCUCACCAAGGCGACGAUCCAUAGCUGGUCUGAGAGGACGAUCAGCCACACUGGAACUGAGACACGGUCCAG
rnacentral:rRNA from 1 species